ACUGAGCAGGCAGAAGCGCGUGCAGGCAGAAGCGCGUGCAGGCAGAAGCGCGUGCAGGCAGAAGCGCGUAGCCUUGGAGGAAUCAUCUUGGGAAAUCGAUUGUUUGCUGGAUUACUUUUCUUCUGGCUGGAACGCUGCUGAGGGAACUGGCCAGAGCUUCAAUCAUUGGAUCCAACAGAUACGGAUUAUUAGUUGGCGUCCCAGCUUUUGGACACCUGGGUCUUUCUCCCCACGGAUCUGGGAGAGGGGUUAUAUUUUGAAUUCUACCCAUGCUGAAAGAAAUAAGAAGAAAGGAUUAUUGUUUACACAGAUGGACAAAUUCCUAGUCUACUUACCUACGCUGGUUGGCCCCGUAUCACCCUUCUGGGUGUAUUCGAGGCCUACGGUGUGUUACUUGCCUUACCUCCAGGUUUUCUAGUCCAGCUUCCAGGUCGGGCGUGGUGGCAGUACACAAAGGAUCGGGCGAGGUCUGAGGGCAUGGUAGGAACGUGGGAGAGUGGAGAGAAAUGCGACGUGAAAGACUGGCUUAAGGGAAGUGACCAGAGCUUCUGGGUGGAAGUAGUGAUUUACUUACCUGUGUUUCAGCUUCUGAUGCUUCCUCCUGCUUCACUCCUCCUUCCCAGGUGCAACGGGGACAGUGGUGGUCGAUUGGCCGGGAGAGGUCCAGCAGAGAGCGGCUGUCCUACCAGCGACGAGGAGUCCGAUUACGGACCAAGCGAGUUGGAGGAGAAGACCCCGGGAGCAUGGGAUUUACCCCCGGACUAUUUCUUUCUGUUUUGUCCCAUCUUUGUGUUACGUCCGUGACUGGUGUUUUAUGUGGACCUUGUUUUUAUGGUUUUUUUUUUUUUUUCUUGGAGCUAGUGACCGACAGGAGGGGAUUGCCUUAGUGUGCUGUGGAUUUUUGCUUUUUUUUCUGUUCUGUUUUUGGCCUUCCCUCGUGUGGUCCUUUUUUUAUUUUAGUCUACCAAUUCUUUUUUUUUUUUUUUUUGUACCGUGUUUUUAGUACCCUGUUGAACAAUAAAAUUUGUUUUAUCCGA